rnacentral:lncRNA from 1 species
UAUUGUAUUACCCUUUGCUUAUAUUAAUUGUUUAUAUAUACAAGUUUCUAUGUAAGUGACACAUGCUUAUUAGUUGUAGAUUUAUUUUAAUUUAAUUAAGUUAUUAUAUUUAAUGUUAUUAAGACAAUAUCGUCUAUAAGAUUGAAUUGUCUAAAUGCUCUCAUAUGUUUAAAAGUUUAACAAACAACAUUAAACAAAAUGAGCAUAUAUGACAGUGUUAUCGUUAAAAUAACAAUAUAACUAAGAUAAGUGAUUUAUGAAAAUACUCUGAAAAACCUAAAAACCUUAGUAGAAAUACCUAGGUCUCUCUACCUAUUUAUCUCUCUAUCCGUCUACCUCCCCUUUUUUGUUUAUCUCUUUAUCUUUCUCUAUGUCUAUCUGUAUAUCUAUUUAUCUGCUGUUUAUCUUUCUAUCUCUUUAUCUAUCUAUUUCUCUAUCUGUAUAUCUUUACAUGUCUAUCUCUUUAUAUGUCCAUUUCUCUAUCUAUUUAUCUAUCUUUCUAUUUAUCUUUCUGUCUAUCUAUCUUUCUAUCUAUCUCUCUAUCUAUUUUUCUAUCUAUCUAUCUGUCUAUCUUUCUAUUUAUCUAUCUAUCAAUUUAUUUAUCUAUUUGUCUAUCUAUCUAACUUUCUAUCUAUUUAUCU